ACGACUGCUAAGGACUGGAUAGGAAGAAAUAAGGCAUCUUUUUUCUUUUAAAAGACCUAGUGAUAGGUAUACUUUAGGAGGGGCUUGCGCCAUAUUAGUUAGUUGGUGGGGUAAUGGCCUACCAAGACGAUGAUGUGUAGCUGGACUGAGAGGUUGAACAGCCACAUUGGGACUGAGACACGGCCCAAACUCCUACGGGAGGCAGCAGUAGGGAAUUUUCGGCAAUGGAGGAAACUCUGACCGAGCAACGCCGCGUGAACGACGAAGUACUUUGGUAUGUAAAGUUCUUUUAUCAAGGAAGAAAAGCAAGUGGUGAACCAUUUGUUUGCCGGUACUUGAUGAAUAAGCCCCGGCUAAUUAUGUGCCAGCAGCCGCGGUAAGACAUAAGGGGCAAGUGUUAUCCGGAAUUAUUGGGCGUAAAGGGUGCGUAGGCGGUCUAGUAAGUCAGUGGUGUAAUGGCAACGCUCAACGUUGUCCGGCUAUUGAAACUGCUAAACUUGAGUUAGAUAGAGGCGAGCGGAAUUCCAUGUGUAGCGGUAAAAUGCGUAAAUAUAUGGAGGAACACCAGAGGCGUAGGCGGCUCGCUGGGUCUUAACUGACGCUGAGGCACGAAAGCGUGGGGAGCAAACGGGAUUAGAUACCCUGGUAGUCCACGCCGUAAACGAUAAGUACUAAGUGUCGGGUUAAACCGGUACUGAAGUUAACACAUUAAGUACUCCGCCUGAGUAGUACGUACGCAAGUAUGAAACCCAAAGGAAUUGACGGGGGCCCGCACAAGCGGUGGAGCAUGUGGUUUAAUUCGAAGCAACGCGAAGAACCUUACCAGGUCUUGACAUCCUCUGACAAUCCUAGAGAUAGGACGUCCCCUUCGGGGGCAGAGUGACAGGUGGUGCAUGGUUGUCGUCAGCUCGUGUCGUGAGAUGUUGGGCUAAGUCCCGCAACGAGCGCAACCCUUGAUCUUAGCUGCCAGCAUUCAGUUGGGCACUCUAAGGUGACUGCCGGUGACAAACCGGAGGAAGGUGGGGAUGGCGUCAAAUCAUCAUGCCCCUUAUGACCUGGGCUACACACGUGCUACAAUGGCUGUUACAAAGGGUAGCUGAAACGCAAGUUCUUGGCCAAUCCCCAAAAACAGUCUCAGCCCGGAUUGAAGUCUGCAACUCGACUUCAUGAAGUUGGAAUCGCUAGUAAUCGCGAAUCAGCAUGCCGCGGUGAAUACGUUCUCGGGGUUUGUACACACCGCCCCUCA
rnacentral:rRNA from 1 species